GCCUUUGUGAUGUAGUGGUCAGCAUGCUGGGUAUGCAUUCCAAAGGUCCGUGGUUCGAGUCCCGGCGAAGGCA
rnacentral:tRNA from 1 species